rnacentral:rRNA from 1 species
UACAGAGGUCUCAAGCGUUGUUCGGAUUCAUUGGGCGUAAAGGGUGCGUAGGUGGCAAGGUAAGUCGGGUGUGAAAUCCCAGGGCUCAACCCCGGAACUGCACUCGAUACUGCCAUGCUAGAGUACUGGAGAGGAGACUGGAAUUUACGGUGUAGCAGUGAAAUGCGUAGAUAUCGUAAGGAAGACCAGUGGCGAAGGCGAGUCUCUGGACAGUUACUGACGCUGAGGCUCGAAGGCUAGGGGAGCGAAAGGG